rnacentral:rRNA from 1 species
GACGAACCGUGCGAACGUUGUUCGGAUUCACUGGGCUUAAAGGGCGCGUAGGCGGGCGGCAACGUCGGGGGUGAAAUCUCACGGCCCAACCGUGAAACGGCCUCCGAUACGGGCCGCCUCGAGGGAGGUAGGGGCACGCGGAACUUCCGGUGGAGCGGUGAAAUGCGUAGAUAUCGGAAGGAACGCCGGUGGCGAAAGCGAGUCGCUGGACCUCUUCUGACGCUGAGGCGCGAAAGCCAGGGGAGCAAACGGG